GUGCACUCUGGUCUUUAAAAAUAAAAGAAUAUUUUAAUAUCUUGGAUUAAAUACUCAAACUUAAUGACUGCAAUCUUUUGAUGUACACAGAAUGAGAAGUCGUCUCUCCAGGAUGUCCCACAGGUUCAGGUCAGUGGACUGGAGGACCACAGCAGUGCUUGGCCAAUUAUCUCUUUACAAUGAAUGUAAAAUGAUGAAUGAUUAUUUAUUGCAAAUGUCAUUUGAUGUGAUUCCUGCCAAAGUUGCAUGUCUGUUCUGACCAGAAGCCACAGGUCACAAUCAUAACCACCUACUACUCUGUCCACUGUGGGUGGUAAUGCCUUGUGUGAGGUAUUCUUGAUACACAAUUAUUAAACAUGAUAAUUCAUGUCACCUUGGCAUGAGCACACCUAACCACAUGUACAGAUCUGGGUGUUCCCAAGCCAUUUCUGUUCUUGAUUGAUUUACAUACUGCUAUCCCAUGACUUUUGGCAUAUCACUGUAAGUACACUGCUUACUGCCCAGAAAAAAUAGCUUUACAUAAAAAACAUUCUCAGAUAAUAUAUGUCAUUUGCACACUGUAUUAGGUAUUAUGCAUUUAUCCUGGUGUAGCAAAUAAGAGGCCAUGAAACAAUUACUACAGAGCAUGAUUCAUUUAACUAUUUCUAUUUUACUGAGUUACAGGAGUUACCGGGGGAACGAGCCUAGAGUGCAUAUGACCGCUAAGCCAAACAACCAUGUCAGUGCUGUGUCAGGAAAUGCAGGAUUCUCCAAACCUCGCUUUCCAUCUCCAAAGAGUGAACACAAGACCUACAGCAAAUCUCUGGAUACAUGCUCAGCAAACUACGAUGAGGACGAUUACACCAAUGUGGGGGACUUGAGCAUAUAUGGGAAUGUCUGAUGAUAGAUUAUAGAGAAGAUCGGAUCAGCCUCUUUUUGUAUUGCUUUGAUCUCAUUUGAUUAUGUCGGGACAUAUGUACAGUUCUGAUUUCCAAUCACACUUAAUUAGGUUUCAGCAGCAACAUAACAAACACAUCUUUUAUCAUUUUCACCUUGAGUCACAUAUUAAACUUAGCAGUGUCUUAUUUUGAAAGAGAGCUAUCACUAACCUUUUCUGCUCGGAUUUGACAGUAAAGACUAUUUUUUAAGGCAAGGCACUGCAGGUGAAUUUGAAUUUUUUGUGUUACAAAUAUUUUGCAAUUGUAUGUUUAGAUAUGCAAAGAAGGUCAUAUCUAACCAAAUAUGCAUAAAUCUGCAUGCAUUUUAAGUAGACACGUUCUGUUUUAAAUUAUCUUUUCAGUUCGUUGACAUAUUAGAAUUAAACUUACUAGGGUAAUUUUGGGAUUUCUCUUUUUCAGCACUCCAGUAAUCAAAAAAAAACCAGUGUUCAUCAAGUUUGUGCAUUAAAUCUAAGUCAGGCAGUAAUGUACAGCGCAAAUGUAUAACUUAUAGGGAUAAAAUGUAAAUAUAGAAAUAUGUAGUAUAUAUAAAUGACAAUUUGACUGAAGGCUGAGAGUUUGAAAAAAAAAAACAUUUUAGUAAAACAGCCUUAAUCUGUACUGUACCAUAUUUUUGCACUAUAAGGUGCACUUUAAAAUCAUUUAAUUUUCCCAAAAAUCGUCAGUGCAUCUUAUAUAUAACCCUGUGUGCAUUAUGUAUGUAUUAUUUUUUUUUAACAGUCGGGUUGUAAGGAGCAGUAAAGUCACUUCACUGAAGUACAGUGUUAUACAGGAGUUUCAGGUUAGUUUUUCAACACAGAGCCUCGAGACUGGAGCAGCAUUAGGAUUAGCCCCUAAAUUUAAGCUCUAGCUCUUUUGUUAUACAGAGGCGAGUAUUAUUGACCUUUAGCCUGCUGCUAAUCCCGGCCAAUAAUAACACGUCAAUGUAUUAUGUGAUUAAUUUAUAGCACACAACUAAUCAUUACAUAUUUUUAUAUAGGCUUAUCAGGCAGCAAACACAUUGUUGUAUAUUGUUGACAAGUUACUAACAGCUUAUUUCUUAUUACACACAUCUUGUUGCAACCAUAUAAUUCAUAAUGUUGCUAUGGAGUAAUAAGUAGCAGAAUAAGGAUCAAAAUAAGAAUCUAAGAUUCUUGGUUUGAGUAUUUAUCUUAAAUGUAAUAUUUUUGUUGUUAGUAAAAAAAAUUUAUACUGUAAAAUAUCUCAAGUAAAAACUGUAUGCAGAAGUCAUAAUUUUUUGGUUUUAUAUUUUAAGUAUAGAUAAUAAUAAUAAUAAAGGAAAGUAUAUAUGUAUGUAGAUAGCA
rnacentral:lncRNA from 1 species